rnacentral:rRNA from 1 species
GACCCCACUGCUAUCGGGAUGGGACUAAGACAUGCUAGUCGAGCGCCUCCAAGCACGGUGGAGGAGCGGCGCACAGCUCAGUAACACGUGGCUAACCUGCCCUUGGGAUCGGAACACCCCCGGGAAACUGGGGCUAAAUUCCGGAUGGGUGGAGAUUCCUGGAAUGGGUCUUCGCUGAAAGGACGCUUAGACCAUGCUUCUAGGCGUUGCCCAAGGAUGGGGCCGCGGCCGAUCAGGUUGUUGGUGAGGUAACGGCUCACCAAGCCUUUAACCGGUACGGGCCGUGGGAGCGGGAGCCCGGAGAUGGGCACUGAGUCAAGGGCCCAGGCCCUACGGGGCGCAGCAGUCGCGAAAACUCCGCAAUACGCGAAGGCGUGACGGGGUCAUCCCGAGUGCCGUCCGCUGAGGAUGGCUUUUCCCCAGUGUAUACAGCUGGGGGAAUAAGGAGAGGGCAAGUCUGGUGUCAGCCGCCGCGGUAAUACCAGCUCUCCGAGUGGUGGGGAUGUUUAUUGGGCCUAAAGCAUCCGUAGCCGGCUGGACAAGUUCCCUGUUAAAUCCAGCGAUCUAAUCGUUGGACUGCGGGGGAUACUGUCCGGCUAGGGGGCGGGAGAGGCUGACGGUAUUCUCGAGGUAGGGGUGAAAUCCUAUAAUCCCGGGAAGACCACCAGUGGCGAAGGCUGUCGGCUAGAACGCGCCCGACGGUGAGGGAUGAAAGCUGGGGGAGCGAACCGGAUUAGAUACCCGGGUAGUCCCAGCUGUAAACGAUGCAGGCUAGGUGUUAGGGCGGCUACGUGCCGCUCUAGUGCCGCAGGGAAGCUGUUAAGCCUGCCGCCUGGGGAGUACGGCCGCAAGGCCGAAACUUAAAGGAAUUGGCGGGGGAGCACCACAAGGGGUGAAGCUUGCGGUUUAAUUGGAGUCAACGCCGGGA